rnacentral:rRNA from 1 species
UACGUAGGGUGCAGGCGUUAAUCGGAAUUACUGGGCGUAAAGCGUGCGCAGGCGGUUUGUUAAGACAGAUGUGAAAUCCCCGGGCUUAACCUGGGAAUGGCAUUGGUGACUGCACGGCUAGAGUGUGUCAGAGGGGGGUAGAAUUCCACGUGUAGCAGUGAAAUGCGUAGAGAUGUGGAGGAAUACCGAUGGCGAAGGCAGCCCCCUGGGAUAACACUGACGCUCAUGCACGAAAGCGUGGGGAGCAAACAGG